rnacentral:rRNA from 1 species
UGAUAUGCUUGUCUCAAAGACUAAGCCAUGCAAGUCUAAGUACAUGCCGAAUUAAGGUGAAACCGCGAAUGGCUCAUUAAAUCAGUUAUGGUUCCUUAGAUCGUACUUUUCUACUUGGAUAACUGUGGCAAUUCUAGAGCUAAUACAUGCAGCAGAGCUCCGACCUUCGGGGACGAGCGCUUUUAUUAGACCAAGACCAAUCGGACUUCGGUCCGUAUACCACGGCGACUCUGGAUAACUUUGGGCUGAUCGCACGAUCUAGCAUCGGCGAUAUUUCUUUCAAGUGUCUGCCUUAUCAACUGUCGAUGGUAGGUUAUGCGCCUACCAUGGUCGUAACGGGUAACGGGGAAUCAGGGUUCGAUUCCGGAGAGGGAGCCUGAGAAACGGCUACCACAUCCAAGGAAGGCAGCAGGCGCGCAAAUUACCCACUCCCGGCACGGGGAGGUAGUGACGAAAAAUAACAAUACGGGACUCUCUUGAGGCCCCGUAAUUGGAAUGAGUACACUCUAAAUCCUUUAACGAGGAUCUAUUGGAGGGCAAGUCUGGUGCCAGCAGCCGCGGUAAUUCCAGCCCCAAUAGCGUAUAUUAAAGUUGUUGCGGUUAAAAAGCUCGUAGUUGGAUCUCAGUUACAGACAGGCGGUCCACCUUACGGUGGCUACUGCCUGGCCUGAACGUCCUGCCGGUUUUCUCUCGGUGCUCUUCAUUGAGUGUCUUGAGUGGCCGGCACGUUUACUUUGAAAAAAUUAGAGUGCUUAAAGCAGGCGUGACGCCUGAAUAAUGGUGCAUGGAAUAAUGGAAUAGGACCUCGGUUCUAUUGUGUUGGUUUUCGGAACACGAGGUAAUGAUUAAGAGGGACAGACGGGGGCAUUCGUAUUGCGACGCUAGAGGUGAAAUUCUUGGACCGUCGCAAGACGAACUACUGCGAAAGCAUUUGCCAAGAAUGUUUUCAUUAAUCAAGAACGAAAGUUAGAGGUUCGAAGGCGAUCAGAUACCGCCCUAGUUCUAACCAUAAACGAUGUUGACCAGCGAUCCGCCUGAGUUUCUCAAUUGACUCGGCGGGCAGCUUCCGGGAAACCAAAGUUUUUGAAUUCCGGGGGAAGUAUGGUUGCAAAGAAGAAACUUAAAGGAAUUGACGGAAGGGCACCACCAGGAGUGGAGCCUGCGGCUUAAUUUGACUCAACACGGGAAAACUUACCCGGCCCGGACACCGGAAGGAUUGACACAUUAAGAGCUCUUUCUUGAUUCGGUGGGUGGUGGUGCAUGGCCGUUCUUAGUUGGUGGAGCGAUUUGUCUGGUUAAUU